AGAGUUUGAUCAUGGCUCAGAUCAACGCUGGCGGCGUGCCUCAGACAUGCAAGUCGAACGCGAAAGUUCCCUUCGGGGAGCAAGUAGAGUGGCGCACGGGUGAGUAACACGUAGGUAAUCUACCUUCGGAUGGGGAAUAACAACCGGAAACGGGUUGCUAAUACCGCAUAAUGCUGCGGCACCUAAUGGUGACAGUUGUUAAAGCGGGGGAUCGCAAGACCUCGCGUCUGAAGAGGAGCCUGCGGCGGAUUAGCUAGUUGGUAAGGUAACGGCUUACCAAGGCGAUGAUCCGUAGCCGGCCUGAGAGGGCGGUCGGCCACACUGACACUGACAUACGGGUCAGACUCCUACGGGAGGCAGCAGUCGGGAAUUUUGGGCAAUGGGCGAAAGCCUGACCCAGCAACGCCGCGUGAAGGAUGAAAUCCCUCGGGAUGUAAACUUCGCAAGAACGGGAAGAAUAAGUCUGUGUUAACACCACAGGCGAUGACGGUACUGUUUGUAAGCUCCGGCUAACUCCGUGCCAGCAGCCGCGGUAAUACGGGGGGAGCAAGCGUUGUUCGGAUUUACUGGGCGUAAAGGGCACGUAGGCGGCCACCGCAAGUCGAUUGUGAAAUCUCCGGGCUUAACCCGGAAAGGUCAACCGAUACUGCGGGGCUAGAGUGCAGAAGGGGCAACUGGAAUUCUCGGUGUAGCGGUGAAAUGCGUAGAUAUCGAGAGGAACACCUGCGGCGAAGGCGGGUUGCUGGGCUGACACUGACGCUGAAGUGCGAAAGCUAGGGGAGCGAACGGGAUUAGAUACCCCGGUAGUCCUAGCCUUAAACGAUGAAUGCUUGGUGUCUGGGGUUUUAUAGUCCCCGGGUGCCGUCGCUAACGCUUUAAGCAUUCCGCCUGGGGAGUACGGUCGCAAGACUGAAACUCAAAUGAAUUGACGG
rnacentral:rRNA from 1 species